CCUACGGGGGGCAGCAGUGAGGAAUAUUGGUCAAUGGCCGCGAGCCUGAACCAGCCAAGUCGCGUGAGGGAAGACGGUCCUAUGGAUUGUAAACCUCUUUAGGCGGGGAGCAAAGCCGGGCACGCGUGCCCGGAGGGAGAGUACCCGCAGAAUAAGCAUCGGCUAACUCCGUCCCAGAAGCCGCGGUAUAACGGAGGAUGCGAGCGUUAACCGGAUUUAUGGGGUGUAAAGGGUGCGUAGGCGGAUUUUAAAGUCAGCGGUAAAAUGUCCGGGCUCAACCCGGACCGGCCGUUGAAACUGGGGAUCUUGAGUGGGCGAGAAGUAUGCGGAAUGCGUGGUGUAGCGGUGAAAUGCAUAGAUAUCACGCAGAACUCCGAUUGCGAAGGCAGCAUACCGGCGCCCGACUGACGCUGAGGCACGAAAGCGUGGGGAUCGAACAGGAUUAGAUACCCUGGUAGUC
rnacentral:rRNA from 1 species